rnacentral:rRNA from 1 species
GACGAACGCUGGCGGCGUGCUUAACACAUGCAAGUCGAACGCUGAAGCUCAGCUUUUGUUGGGUGGAUGAGUGGCGAACGGGUGAGUAACACGUGAGUAACCUGCCUCCUUCUUUGGGAUAACGCCCGGAAACGGGUGCUAAUACUGGAUAUUCACUGGUCUUCGCAUGGGGGUUGGUGGAAAGGGCUUUUCUGGUGGGGGUUGGGCUCGCGGCCUAUCAGCUUGUUGGUGGGGUAAUGGUCUACCAAGGCUUUGACGGGUAGCCGGCCUGAGAGGGUGACCGGUCACAUUGGGACUGAGCUGCGGCCCAGGCUCCUCCGCGAGGCAGCAGUUGGGAAUAUUGCACAAUGGGCGCAAGCCUGAUGCCGCGUCGCCGCGUGAGGGAUGGAGGCCUUAGGGUUGUGAACCUCUUUAGCUCAUGGUGAAGCCGCAACAAUGGUUGUGGUGAGGGUAGUGGGUAAAGAAGCGCCGGCUAACUACGUG